rnacentral:rRNA from 1 species
UACAGAGGGGGCAAGCGUUGUUCGGAAUUAUUGGGCGUAAAGAGCGUGUAGGCGGCCAGGUAGGUCUGCUGUGAAAACUCGAGGCUUAACCUCGAGAUGUCGGCGGAAACCAUCUGGCUAGAGUCCGGAAGAGGAGAAUGGAAUUCCCGGUGUAGCGGUGAAAUGCGCAGAUAUCGGGAAGAACACCCGUGGCGAAGGCGGUUCUCUGGGACGGUACUGACGCUGAGACGCGAAAGCGUGGGGAGCGAACAGG